UACGGAGGGUGCGAGCGUUGUCCGGAAUCACUGGGCGUAAAGGGCGCGUAGGCGGCUUGGCAAGUGGAAGGUGAAAUCCCUCGGCUUAACCGAGGAACUGCCCUCCAAACUGCUUUGCUUGAGGCCGGGAGAGGUGAGUGGAAUUCCCAGUGUAGCGGUGAAAUGCGUAGAUAUUGGGAGGAACACCAGUGGCGAAGGCGGCUCACUGGACCGGUUCUGACGCUGAGGAGCGAAAGCGUGGGGAGCAAACAGG
rnacentral:rRNA from 1 species